ensembl:lncRNA
GAAAUCUCCCUGACAGCAGUGGGAGUUCUGCAGUCAGCCUGAACAUGGAAUUCAGUUUCUUAGUGAAUUCGUCCAUGGGCAAGAGCCUUUAGAGGUGAAACGAUCUGGGAGAGAAGGAAGGAUGGAGGGAAGAGAGAAGGAAGGUUGGAGGGAGAGAGGGAGGAAAAAGAAAGGGGAAAACAGCCUCUGUUAGAACCCAGGACCCAGAGACAGGAUAUUCAUAUGUAUGUGUGCCUGUGGGGUCCAACAUGGAACUGUGAGAACUGAGUUUGAAUCCUGCCUGGUUCAUGCACUAUGUGACACUGAACAAAUUUCUUAAUGUCCUGGAGAUUUUAUUUCCUCAGGCAUCAGU